ensembl:lncRNA
GUGCCAGCCUCUGACUGUGGUGGUAUGUAAAACAGCUACAAAAAAUACAGAUGUAAACUCUCUAGGUAGAAAGUGUGGUCUACAGCUUAUCAUGAGAUACUCUACCUCAGGCAAGCAAAAGCUUGAGACUUCCUUAGAUAUCGUGCACCAGCUGUUAUUUACAAAAAUACAUAGUCCGCCGCCCCUUGUCUUACCAGACGCCGCUGUUCUAUCCUGAUGGUACAGCGCAUAACCAGCCAGCUGUAUGUUGAUUGUGUCAUCGUUCAGCCACGACUCCAUGAAGCAUAAGAUAUUCCAGUUUUGAAUGUCCAGUUGGUAGUUUAAUCUUGUAUGCAGGUCAUCGAUUUCAUUCUCCAAAGAUUGCACGUUUGCUUGCAGAAUGGAAUAGAACAUCACUGCAACAACUGUUUCAGAGCACUCUCGUCCGAGUGUGCAAGAACGCAAGAACGCAGAAUAACUGAUGAAUUUACCAACACUCAACACCGGUUGAAUAUGGCUGUGUCAGUAAACGUAAUUAAAGAGUAAUUCAAUUGUUGUGGACCACAGUUACAGUCACUAAUGCUUUGGAUAACAUGAAAACAGAAUAACCAGCUCUGCUAGGGUGAGUAAAAUGGUCAGAGUUUGGGUGGGGUUUCAAGCUCAAGAUGAUUCUUAUGGCAUUGCACAUGGUCAGUGUGAACCAGAGUGACUUGAUGCUAGGCAUGCUGUACAAACAAAAUUGAAACGACACAGGACGUCUUAUUUAAUGAAAGGGGUUGCAGUCUGCCAUGAAGCGUUCAUCCAUGUAUACGGCAUCAGUAGAACAAGCCUGACUCUCCUCCUCCACCAGUCAUACAAGGAGAAUGGUCUAAUGCCUCCCAUCAAAAAGAGAGCUGGCCCAAGCAAGCACAGGUUACUCCUGAAGCAUGAGGACUUGCAGCGAGUUGUGAACAUCAACAACUAUGCAGAGGAUAAUGCAAUAGGAUUACCAGGACGCCACCCAGGACACAAACACUUUGGAGGAAAGCUGCUGCCAUCCCAUGUGACAAAAGCAGGAGUGUGGCUUCUCUACAACACAUUUUAAUUAUUUAAUUGACCUCCAACAUGAUUGGCACUACUUUUAUUGAUCUCACAUUAUUUCUGUAUUUUCCAGAG